AGUAGGAAGUGGCAAGUGGUAGGAGCAGCAGCAUCUGAUAUGCCACGCCGUGCCCUUUAGCCCUCUUCCAGAUCUACUUUAGCUAGCAUCAUUCAGCCUGUCCUUUUUGUCUGCUUCACCUCUGUUUCCAGGCACCAAGCACUGAGAUUUAGAAGGCUGACUCUGAGCCAUGCAAGGUCUUCUGUCACCUCCCAAUGCUUUACUUAACUAAGGCAAGAGGGAAUCCUACUUUCCAAUCACAAAGGCUGAACCACACAUUUUCCCAUUUCUCCUCAAAUAACCAGGAUCGCAAAGCAUCCAGGACACCCUCCUCCUUGAGAUUUUCCAACGUUAGGCUAUGCAAAGGUGUGUGGAGCAAAGUAGAUUGAGAAGGAAUGGAAUGGGCUCCUGGGGUUGCCAGCCUUUCCUGUCCAGUCUGAAUGUUAAUAGCUCACCUCACAGAUGUUUCAAGAAAGGGGUCCUUUCCAAAACCCUGGGAAAUAUAAAAACUAUUUUUGCACAGGUGCAUCCUGUAGUGGGAGGUGGGGCUUAUUUCACUAAUGAUAUCCCUUGACGACCCAUGCCUCUGUGCCUGUUCACCUCUACCCAAAGCUCUGAAGCUCUGAUGGAGUCUCUCUAGUUGCUCAAGUCAGCCUAUUGUGAAUGAGAGUCAGAGGGCGAUUCCCAACUCUGCCUGAGUAACUGAUCCCAUCCGUACACCCCAUGGCUACAUUCCUUGGUAUUCAUUUCCCUGGAGAGGGCUGUGAAAGAAUCAAGUAAUGGUUUCUAGUGCAUGGAAAAGAUCUUCUGUAAUGGCUCAGGAUGCUUUAUUCUUAUCUAUUGGUAAGCACUCUCCUACAGACUUCCAUUACACCUGACAGACAGACACAAAUUCAACAAGACAGGCUGGCAUAAGGUCACUCAGAUGUGAGGUUUCAGUCCCUAAAGGUUUCUAGGGUACUGCUGAAGAAAAGGUAGAAAGGCAAGGCAGUGGGAGAGGGGUUCAGACACACACACAGAGGGAGGUCGGACCUCAGCAGACAGGAAUCAUUCAUAUGACCAUGUAGGAAGAAGAAGUACAGAAACCGUGAACAGAUGUCCAGAGGUCAAGGGCGUAUCUGAUGAUGUAUGUAUCAUCUAUCACUUUUCAGUCCUGAGAGCAAGAUUUUUGAAAGAGCUAUUGCUAAAGAAAACAGUCACUAUUGCUUUUAUUGCACAUUUCCUCUUUAAGAACGUUAGACACAAACUAUGAGAGAUGGAGCUGAGUUUUAGGGAAAAGGGGAGCAGAAAGGAGGGAAAAGUAGACUAGGUUAGCUGAGGAGUGUGCAAGGGAUCCCUUACCUCUCCUUCCCUGCUUUCUGCUCUCUCUGUGUGUGUGUGUGUGUGUGUGUGUGUGUGUGUGUGCUGGUCUCAAUAAGGGCCAAGUCUGAGGGUAUAAAUAAUGGUCACUAUAACUACCAAGACAGCUCCCAGCAUAUACACCUGGUUGACUCAGGUAGCUAAUGAUGUGAAUGAGUGAAGGGCAUGAGUUCGAACCUGGAUGAUGAACACUUUAUCAAAAGGAACCUCUAUUGUGUAACCUGGAGUACCCUACACAUCAGAACCCUCACAGGCCUUAGCCAUCCCAUUCCCCCCAUGCAGACUGGAAGAGGAAGAGCUCUGAGGUCACCCUCUAUCCUAGGCUAACACGUCAGAGGACUGCACUCCCCUCAUGGCCUCCACAUGUUGUUUGUACUUCCCAUAGUUUUUCUCUGGGGAAGAUGUGUUUCUAACUCCUUCCCACGACUAUGGGUAGCAUUGAAUUCCCUGCCUGAGGAUCUUCAGAAGCUCUGACUUUUCUCACUAAGACUUGACUCUAACACACCACUGAAGUUCUAGAAAGGCACAGAGCCAUAACUAAAUUAAAUUUGGGUUCCUGAAUUAAUUUUAAUUAAUCAAUGAAAACUUGGCUCCUGAUAAAUUUACUCUGAAAUUCAACAGCUCUGUUGCCUUUUCUUCCUGAUAAUUUCUCUACUUUUCCUGGACUCUUUCCUGUCCAACCUCCCAGAAACUACAACUUUUACAAAUGUCUGAGGCCACAGAGGCCUCAUGAAGCUAUGGUGGAAAUUGAUAUCUUGCUUUGGAAACUCAAGUCUCAGUGUGUUAAGUGUACAAGUUUUGAACCACAUGUCCAUUAUCUGCUCAUUGCCUCCUCUAUAGAGGCCUGAACAGAGGGUUAAGAUACUCAGGGAUAUAGAAGCAGAGCCCACAAAACUUGAUCCAAGACUGGAUGCAACUUUUAACUUCUAUUUUGUAUAAAGCCUUUGCCAAAAUGCAGAGGCCCCAGCUGGUAAUACUAGCAGGAUGAAGCCCCUGGGCUCUGUAAUGGUGGGUAAUAUUGCCAAGUAUUUAAAUUUAGUGUUAGAAUAGAAGACAAAUACCAGGCUCUCUAAAAAUUGCUAACUGCUCCUCUAGCCGUAGAUUAAUGUCCCCCACCACAUUUUACUUCAGCUAAACUGGUCUGCGAUUUUGUCAAGGCACAACACUUGAAUGGGAAGCCUGAGUUCCCUGGGAGCCUGGGUUGGGAAGUAAGGGGAGAACAAGUCUAGAUUGAAUGAAUCAAGAGUUGUCGUCAUUGGACUCAUGCCUAAGAGUAAGUGAAAUGCCACGAGCAAGGAAAGCAUUUUAAGAGCUAAGUCUAUAGAUCCAACUUUCUGACCUGGAUCCAGACAACACUACUUUGGAAAGAGUGUUAAUAAGAUCUUUUGGCUCAAAGAAAAUCGGGGCAUUUCAACCUGAUUCAGGGUUCAGAAUCCUAUAGUUUCUUGGACCAUCACUGCUUCAAGACAAUAGGGAGAAAUCUGGAGAUCCCAGACACUUGGAGAGGAGUUCGGGUCCUCAGUGUAGAUUUUCUUUGAAAGAAAAGGGAUAGCAAGGGAGCCCACAAGAGGUUGCCAGCUCUUGCAGUUCCCACAGCUUUCACCCUGAGGGAUUCUUGCAGGAAGGCGAAAGGUAGAAAACCCAGAGGUUCCAGUGCUCGAUAUGGUGCCACAUCUUUCCACUUGAAACCUCAGGAGUUAUGUCUCAGGAAUGAGGUUGGAUGCCAAAGAAGAGGCUCCUUGGAGAAUAUUGAGGGAUAUUGAUAUGGGCAAGGAAAAGCAAUUAAAUCUGAUCCCUUGCCUUCAUUUAUCAAUUUUUAGAUGUGGAAGCAGAGGCAGUCAAUGAUGAUUCAAUGCCUACAUUUUGUGUGGAUUCAUGGGCAUGGGUACUGUUUGUUUAUUUAUUUUUUUUGUUUUUGUUUUUUGUUUUGGUGUACCUAGCAUAGUUUGGUGCACUGUGUAUAUAAGCUGAGCUUGUGUGCAGAAACAAUAACAAAGCAUCACUUAUGUAACUUGCAUGUAUAUCCAUUGUCCCCGACCCCCAGUUGGAUUUGUAUAUUUUGCAUCUGAGUUGCAUGCUGUGCAUUUGCACACGGGGCAAAUAUAUCUCUUGCAGCUAUUCUAUGUUGGUAUGCACAUUGCAUGCUUAUGCGGCAUAUACAUGCUUUGUCUAUCUUUUCUGCCUAUGCCUCAUAUUAUUUUGGCUGGUGUGCAUUUUGCAUGUGUGCUGUGUAUUUUAUAUUUGUAUGUGACAAUAAUCUAUCAUUUAUUUUAUGAUGCAUGUGCAUGCAUGGGUGUGGACAUUUUAUGGUUCCCAGGCCAAGGCUUUUGUGAAUAACUAACUUCCCUUGGUCUAGACCUUAUGUAUGGUUUGCCUUAACCUUCUACUAUCCCAAGUUUGUCCCUUCCACCCCAUGUCAUGAAAUUCAGCACCACCUCCCACAAAGGAGAAGAAGAGAAGCACAGAGGCUUUGUGCCUGGCAUGGGAUGCCCUGCAGUCACCUGGGGAUAUGGGUGACCAGGAACUAAUGAGCACCCUGGGCUAGCACCCUGAGCUGGUGCCCCCUCCCCAAAGACAACUGUAGGUACCAUCUAGUGAACAGCAAGACCUAGACUGGAAUCAAUACUGAACAGCCUGACCACAGUUCAUUGUGUUUGUGAGAAUUUAAGCCACUGUGUUAAAAGGCAAAGACACCCAGUAUGGGGAAGCAAAGGCCUUCCCCACUCUCUUCCUAGGGACAACACAUCACACUCUCUACUUCAAGGCUGCACAGUGCUCAUCCAUUCUUUAUUUGUUCUUGGGGUGAGGAUUAAUUCUUUACCCAUCCUUCUUUUUCUUUUCUUUUCUUUUCUUUUCUUUUCUUUUCUUUUCUCUUUCUUUCUUUCUUUCUUUCUUUCUUUCUUUCUUUCUUUCUUUCUUCUUUCUUUCUUCCUUCCUUCCUUCCUUCCUUCCUUCCUUCCUUCCUUCCUUCCUUCCUUCCUUCCUUUCUUUCUUUUUUUAAAGGGCAGCUCUUAUUAUCAGUAUGCUAGGGAGAGAGAGUCUGAGUUUAGUAAUCAAAAUGAUGCUUUGGGUCAUUUAGGGAAUCCAUCCCUUGGUUCUGGAAUUAGGAAAUUUCCACCAAUAGGAGGCUUCCUUUAAGUGUAGAUUAGCAGAAUCCGGUCCCAAGGAGUUUUACUCCUUGGUUUCAAAGCAGAGGAUCCGCCUAUGGACAGGUUCAUGAAAAUGAUGGAUGUAGAACCAAAUGAUAGAGAAUCAAAUGGGGCAGAGGAUAAUAAUGGAGAUGAUUAAUGGGAUGGAUUCUAGGGAGGAGGCCUGGGUGGGCCUGGCCCAGGAUAGCUGGAGCUGUGAGGGCUAUAGGACCCUUGUGCACUCAGUAAGACAAGCUUCAGCCGUGGGAAACUGAAGCUGCAGCACAUGGAGGGCAGAAAGACAAUUCUAAUAUCUAGGAAUCCAUGAACACUGGAGCAUGUCUGAGGCAAUGACAGCAAACCCAGGCCCAGUGGGUUUACUGUACCCAUUGGGUUUCUUACACCACCAACCCACCGAGUAAUAGAUCUGCUCCUGAAUCUGAACUCCAGAGAAUGAAUAUAUAUAUAU
rnacentral:lncRNA from 1 species